GUCGAACGGUAGCAGGAAGUGCUUGCACUUUGCUGACGAGUGGCGGACGGGUGAGUAAUACUUAGGAACAUGCCUUUGUGUGGGGGAUAACCAUUGGAAACGAUGGCUAAUACCGCAUAAUGUCUUUGGACCAAAGAGGGCUUUCGGGCUCUCGCGCAAAGAGUGGCCUAAGUGAGAUUAGCUUGUUGGUGAGGUAAAGGCUCACCAAGGCGACGAUCUCUAGCUGUUCUGAGAGGAAGAUCAGCCACACUGGGACUGAGACACGGCCCAGACUCCUACGGGAGGCAGCAGUGGGGAAUAUUGCACAAUGGGGGCAACCCUGAUGCAGCCAUGCCGCGUGUGUGAAGAAGGCCUUCGGGUUGUAAAGCACUUUCAGUUGUGAGGAAAGGUUGAUGGUUAAUACCCAUCAGCUGUGACGUUAGCAACAGAAGAAGCACCGGCUAACUCCGUGCCAGCAGCCGCGGUAAUACGGAGGGUGCGAGCGUUAAUCGGAAUUACUGGGCGUAAAGCGCACGCAGGCGGUUAUAUAAGCUAGAUGUGAAAGCCCCGGGCUCAACCUGGGAAUAGCAUUUAGAACUGUAUGACUAGAGUCUUGGAGAGGGGGGUGGAAUUCCAGGUGUAGCG
rnacentral:rRNA from 1 species